AAUCUUGCGCAAUGGGCGAAAGCCUGACGCAGCAACGCCGCGUGAACGAUGGAGGCCUUCGGGUCGUAAAGUUCUGUCAGGGGGGAAGAAUAAAUGACGGUACCCCCGGAGGAAGCCCCGGCUAACUACGAGCCAGCAGCCGCGGUAAUACGUAGGGGGCAAGCGUUGUCCGGAAUUAUUGGGCGUAAAGGGUGCGUAGGCGGCCCUUUAAGUCAGAUGUGAAAGCCCACGGCUUAACCGUGGGACUGCAUUUGAAACUGGAGGGCUUGAGUGUCGGAGAGGGCAGUGGAAUUCCCAGUGUAGCGGUGGAAUGCGUAGAUAUUGGGAGGAACACCAGUGGCGAAGGCGACUGCCUGGACGAAAACUGACGCUGAGGCACGAAAGCUAGGGGAGCAAAC
rnacentral:rRNA from 1 species